rnacentral:rRNA from 1 species
CGAACGCUGGCGGCAGGCUUAACACAUGCAAGUCGAACGCAUCGCAAGAUGAGUGGCAGACGGGUGAGUAACGCGUGGGAACAUACCCUUUUCUACGGAAUAGCUCUGGGAAACUGGAAUUAAUACCGUAUACGCCUACGGGGAAAGAUUUAUCGGGAAGGAUUGGCCGCGUUGGAUUAGCUAGUUGGUGGGUAAAGGCCUACCAAGGCGACGAUCCAUAGCUGGUCUGAGAGGAUGAUCAGCCACAUUGGGACUGAGACACGGCCCAAACUCCUACGGGAGGCAGCAGUGGGGAAUAUUGGACAAUGGGCGCAAGCCUGAUCCAGCCAUGCCGCGUGAGUGAUGAAGGCCUUAGGGUUGUAAAGCUCUUUCACCGAUGAAGAUAAUGACGGUAGUCGGAGAAGAAGCCCCGGCUAACUUCGUGCCAGGAGCCGCGGUAAUCUGAUGGCGCGAGG